GGCAUCAGCAUGAGACUGUGGGUGCUCAGCAAAGGUCCACUGGCAGAAUGGAGAGGUAAUAAAUUGACAGGAUAAGUAGCAAGUACCUUUUGUUUGGCUCAUCCUUGAUUAGCUACUUCAACCUGUAAACUUGGUCUUUUUGGAUUCCCUGAAAUGGAGGAACACAGUCCUCAGUUUCACCUUCCAGUAGUCAGUGACAGCAGAAAUGGCUCAUGGAGCUACAGUCAGCGGUUACUGUGGCAGCCCUGGGUGUAUAUGGUUUUAGCAAAAUUCAGCACAGAAGUGGGGAUGAGGGAUCUACUGGUGCCUAAAAUAUAACCUGAGACCCACAGAGUGCCUAAACUGUUUACUAGCAAAAGCUGUGAGGGCAUAUAAGGGGAAGAUCCUUGUACACAAAAUGUGAUUCCGUUCUUUCUAAACAUCUGCUUGACCACCAUCAGAGAGAGGCUACUGGGCUUAACAAACCCUUUUUUUGAUGCAAUGUGGCCUUUCUUAAUCUAUGUGAGGGUGUACUAUUGCAUACCCAGUGCUUCUCUCUCAGUGGCAUUCCCUCUAUUGCAGAUAGCACUGCAGACACCUGGGCAGAGAUCAAGGCCCUUGCUCUCCAUCUCCAUGAGUCAAGCCAAUGAAAAGUCACUUUCAUCCCACAUGGGAGCAGAAAUACUAAUGCAGAGGGCAGCCAAGAAUUGCCCUCUUGCUCUGGGGUCUUGCAAAGGCAAUCUUAGCAAAUUGGGGCAGGUAUUAGUUUGUUUGCCAUCUCUGCCCUGAGUUACUACAAGGGAGAUAUGUUGGACCAGAAACAUAAAUGAAGCACAGGAAUUUUAUUAGUGAGUGAACACUGAAACUGCUACUCAUGGUGUAUAGUUUGCAAUUUUAGGUUAUUUGCUGCAUGUGUAUUCACCAGACAUAAAUAUCUGACAGGAAUUACACUUAGUGAUACUGUUGGAAACCAGAGUCAUAUCUACUUUAUGAGUUCAUAAAAGGACCCUUUCAACUUUAAAACACCAUGGUAGCAAGCUAUACAGAUGUGCAAGUUAUACAGAUGUGUUUUUUAAGCAUGUGCUUUCAUCCAGGGCCAGUCCUCGAGACACACGUCAAGUUGAGCAAGCAGGGGAGUAAUUUUCUCAACCAGACCUACGUGCAUUUUCCAGUCACUCUUAGAAUUUAAAAAACUGGAGUUAUCUUAAUAUUUUUGAGCCUUGUCUUUGUAAGGAAGUCAUAAUCGGAUAAAGUAUUUCCAGUUGGAGGAAGAAAAUUACAGUUUUGGAGCAGCUUCUCUGUUUUGCCAUUUGUUUUUAUUCUUCCCAUCCAACAUGGUGAUAGUGAUGGAUGAGGAGGUGCCCAGGUGAAGUAUCAAAGGACAGCUGGGUUAUUGGGUUAUUGUCUUCUGUCCAGAGCUGUGUGGGUAACCCCAGCUUUUCCUUCCCAAGGGCAUAGCUGAAGGUAAACAGUGCUGUUCCAAACCUGAUUUAAACAAUAUUGAACGUGCUCUCCUUUGAGAGACACUGAACAGGUGAGCUCAUCCACUUGUUUUUAUCCACCACUACAAGCAAUCUUUGUUGCACACAAAGACUUAAUCUAGUUUGUGACAGCUCUCAAGUAUUUUCUCUCUAUUUAACUUUUCUCAUGGAAUAUAAUUUGUCUUAAAGCCUGUGGGCUUCCCCAAAGCAGAGAAAUCACCAAAAAUGUCUCUACAGCAAUUUCUUCUCUUAGGAUCUACCCCCUUUCCUGGUGAUGUCUGUAAGGGCAGCAAGGCCCAGGUACCACUUUAUUCUUUAGUCCAUAUAACACUGAAGGCUCUUGGUGAUGGUGUCCUGCUCCUGCACAAGCCCCAGGUAUGCCAGUGGUGAGCUGAGAGAUCUGGUCUUUGCUGUAAGUAAAAGAGGUCAGGACAGAAGGAGUGGGUCUCUGAUGAGUUGCAUGCUAAAGCAGAUCCACCUUCUGCCAGUUGCGUGAUUAUACACUGGGACAUGAUUUUUUAAUGGAGAUGGAAAACAGACAUUCUGACAGGACUGAAUUUUGCUCAGGGCUAUCUGUGUGCUACUCUCAGUGAAGAGUCUUGGCCGAAUUUGUUCCUGGAUAGAGAAGACACAACUCUGCUGAGGCAUGAUAGAGCUGAGUUUGAUACUGAAGUGCAGCUGUAGACAAGUAUUCCAUGUUGUCUCCUGUCAGGGCAGAGAGAGGAGCCCUGUGAGAUGCUAGUUAUGAAAUCCUACUGCUGCCCUGUGCUUGUUUGUCUAGCAAGCACGCAGAUUUAAACAAAAAUAUUUUGGUUAUCUAAUUGAUCUUUAUUUUCAAAUCUUUUAAGCUUGUCUUGUUGAACAUGCUCACUGUGAAUAUGUUGUUGAGGCUUAACCUGUUCUGAGAUUUCAGAAAAUCUUAAAGAAUUUCAGAGUUUCAUGGGUGUAGAAUUGGACUGAAAUAUAAAUAAAUGAACAAACAGAGAGAGAAAGAAAAAAUUGCUGAAAGGAUUAAUCUGUAGUUGCAUUUCAACUCCUGCAAUGCAAGAGGAGAAAAACUUUUCUAAGUUCAUGGAUGUGCAUCUUGCUGGAAGGGAUCAUGUCAGAGCAAAGUGACAUUUUUUUCCCUUUGGUGAUCUGCUAGCAGGGCUUUGGAAAGCACUGGUGCUCUAAGUAUGGCAGCAUUAUCACAAUAUAAUUCAAUAUAAUUAUGGAUAGAAUUUCUUUCCCUUUUAAAAUGGUACUUUUUUUGAGAUGCCUAUACUGGUACUGAACCACCUGUCUGGAAGGCUUCAGGGCAAGUCUGAGACUGUUGGAAGGGGAACUGCAUUGAGAUAGAGGUAAGCUUGGCUGAACAGUAGAAGGGUAAAUGUAUCAAGUGUAUUAUUCCUUGGGCCAUAUCAGAUGGGAAGUUAGAUGAGGUGAUUUGAUAAUCAAGCCUAAACCAGCCAUUGCUGAACUAAUAGGAGACAGCAAAUAUGUAAGUUAAUGCCAAGAUAUCAACAAUGAUGGGUUCCUCAGGGGACUUCAAGAAAUACUGGAAAGGAGUUUUAGUCCAGCAAACUAUAUUUCCCAUAUUCUGUGCACCUUUGGCAAUCCCACUGAAGGAAUAGCAUUUAUUCUUGUCUCCUGGCUGAGCCCUGUUUAGCUAUCUUGGUGGGCUGUCAGCUUAACAUUAUCCUGCAAGGAAGAAAAUAGGGCCAAGUCCCUUGUGGCCUCAGGGAUGGAAAAGGGAAUGGUUUGGCAGUAUGACUGGACACUUCCCCAUACAAGGAGUACUGUAUAAUGGUGCUAGAGAUGGAACUCACCACCUUCUGCUGGCAGUCCUGGUAUUCCAUAGAUAGUCCCACCUAACUGAGCUGAUGCAAAAGAUCCUGCCAAUAACAGUACUGGAGAACAGUACCCUUCAUUUAUCCAUUGAACUCACUGAAUGCUUCACCUUACAAUGCACAGCUGUGGUACCCUGUGUGGGAAGCUGGUAUUUCACAUGAUAGCUCACAGGGGCUCAUAUGAAGUCCAUUUGAGUUACUUCCUGAGAGGUUCAAAAGGUCACUUCUGGGUGAUGGCCAAUGGUUGUCUGCCAGCUGUGAUAGCUGGACCAAUCUGACUCUACCUCUUGCACCAAAAGUGACUUUACCACCUAAUCCCCUCCAUCGCUGAGCAGCCAACCACUGAAAAUUAUUUUAAGUCUUUUCUGUCUCUGCAGGGCCCAAAAUUAAUGUGUAGAAGGCAAAGCUCUCUUCUGCUACUAUUGCAUGUGGCAGCUUGUUUACUCCUUAUUUGUGAAAGAAUGUUUCUUUGGAGUCUUUUUAGGAAAAGUCAAAUAUGACAAAAGGGUGUGGAAAAAAAGGAUGGAAUCAAGAUGCUUUCAAUGAAAGAGGAAAUAAUUCUGAGAAACACAGCAAUUUAGACAUUAAAGUCUUCUUUCUCCAUGAGAGAAGACCCAAUUCAUUAAAAGAGUCAUAAAACCCUUUAAAUCAGGCUGUGGUACCUUUUGGGAAGAUGAUUGCCAGUUCAAGAUCUGUUCAAUGUGGAGAAGUACAAAUGUACCAGUUUUAAUCAUGAGAAAUAACUUCUCUUUUAUCAAAUCAUCUCUGCUGGAAAUAGUUUCGCUCUGUGCAGUAAUGAUAAUGUGUGCACUUAUCAUUCGGUACCUUCCCAAGACAAGCAGCCAGCCAUGGGAUGUAAUUUAACAACUUAUCAACCCCAGUUUCAUCCAGCCCUUUCCAGCCAGAAGGGUAUUUCACACUAUUUAAGUGACUACACCAGAUAUUGCCAUCAAUUUAAGGUUUUACCAGCCCCUAGUCAUUAAAAUUUUCCACUCAGCACUUCACUUUAUAACCUGGGGACGUAGCUGCUGAACGGCAUCAGGAGCCCCACGGAAUUAUCUGCGUUGUGCAGGUGAUGGGAUAAUUUACCAAAAGAAUGCAAAUCACUGAUUGGCUCUCAAAGACUGCAAUCAUGAUUAGCUGUAUGUGUCAUAUACAGAGGCUGGAAAAGGAAAGAAAAAAGGAGUAUCUGUGGCAUGCUUAUACCCUCCCUUCUGUCUUUGCAGAUGGAGGUGUCUCUCCGAGGUUGUGCCUGUUGAGCUCUCAGAGGGUGGGAUCUGGCACCAAACUCAGUGGGUUGCACAUAAUCUCCAGUGCAGCAGGGAGGCAAAGAAUGUUGGAGAGGUCCCACAGUUCACUGCCCUGCAAUCCUUUGUCGUAGGUCCAGGUCUAGAGGAGCCCUGGCUUCAAGGUAAGGGUUUGUCUUAGUGUAAAGGCAUUAUUGAAGUCUUAUAAAAGUCAAACACGCAGGAGUUGUGCUCAGGAGUGGUUACUCGUUUUGGUCCUAGUGAGGAACUGGCUGGUGGUGGACACAGGGCAGCACUUCUCUGUGCAUCACGUGCAGUGCUUUGAGUGAGUUUGGGAUCCCCUCUCUGCUGAAAACACCUGCUUGGUGGUGUAUCAUUUCUUUUUGGAUGACAGGUUCAAAUGAAAAGAGGUUAGAGGGACUUACCCACCCAAAGAAGCUUUUCCUCAUCCCAAAUUUCUACAACAGUGACCCUAGUUUUCCAUUGUAGUCAGGAUACACAAAACCAACACAGUCUUGGGUCUUCCCCUUCUUGUCCUCAACCUUAAACUGUGUUGUUCUUCCCCCUUUCCAUAGAGAAUGGGAUGAGCAUCUUAGCAACAGACUUUUGCAUUGCAAAUAGUGAGAGUCCAAUUUGCUCCCAUUGGGAUAGAUUUUAUGAGACUGGGAGCCAUCCCUCGCCCUUGUAGCAGCCUUCCAUUGACAGUUUUACCAGCACUUACUGGUGCUGCUAGUACAAUCUGAAAAAGAAGCACAAAAGAAGCACUUUUUGGCCUCCUGAUAGACAAAAUAGGGCCGUGUGGUCUCCAACUGGCUAUUGGAGCUGUGAAUUUCCCCAAAGCCUGCUAAAGCCUCACUGCGGCAUCCUCAAAUUCCUAACUGCACCCCUUACUCCUCCUGGGAACCACACUGCUCAUGGCUGCUUCUUUGCUCUUCCUUCCCACUCACAUCUCUGUUUGGAUGAGGAGACCUGAGAAAUAGUGACAGCCUUCAUAAUUAUCAGCACAGUGGAUGACCUAACAUGAACCUUUUCUCCUGUUAUGGCUGCCUCAAAGCUCACAAGAAUUGAGGUGUCUGCCUAUUUGGUAAACCUGUCUGAGCCUGACCAGCCAAUCCAAAAGUGGUUUGGGGAAUUGGUCUGCAAAUCUCGUUUCCUCAGGAAACCAUCCUUUAUUUAAAACUUUGCUUUAUUUGAACAGAAAUAGUUCCUUUCCUUUGUCUACUUCUUGCUUUUAAAAGAUCCUUAGGA
rnacentral:lncRNA from 1 species